AGCAAGUUGUUCAACUAUUUUCUUCUCAAUUUUUUAAAAUUCUGAUAGAUCUCGAAUGAGUUUCAAGAAAAUGUAUAGUGAAUACCCAUGUAACUUCCACAUAGGCUCAGUGUUACUUAUGGUUUGCUAUGGACAGCUUAUAUAGAAUAUUUUCCUAUAGAACCAACCAUUAACCCAUUUUUAAAAUUUAUUUAUUUUUCUCACUUUUUUAAGAAACAAAAAUUUAAUGACUGGCAUAAGGUAAUGGCUAAAAGAUCAACUACAAUAAUUGCUUAGACACUGUUUUUACACCAUACAAAAUACUUUGUAAAACGAGGCUGUCAAUAUCAGGAGAGUUUUAGUCCUAUUUUUUUUUUAAUUAAUAAGCUUUAUCUUUGCAGCAAUUUAGGUAUAUAGAUAAAUUGAUUGUAAAGCACACAGUGUUCCCAUAUGCCACUCAUCCUCCCUCACCUGUGGCAGUUUGCUCUUAUUAACAUCUCACAUAAGGGUGGCACAUUUGCAUUAACCCAUUUUAAAGGAACAAUAAUGUUCUAAUUUAAUCCUUUUUUCCCUUGUUCUAGAUUAUUUUUUUAAAUUCUAUUACUGAUUAAAUUACUUGACAUCACAACAAUGAUCUUUUUCUGUUAUUCUUUGUGUGUUAG
rnacentral:lncRNA from 1 species